rnacentral:rRNA from 1 species
GCCUCAGUAACGGCGAGUGAAGCGGCAAGAGCUCAAAUUUGAAAGCUGGCCCCUUUGGGGUCCGCAUUGUAAUUUGCAGAGGAUGCUUCGGAUACGGCCCCCGUCUAAGUGCCCUGGAACGGGCCGUCGGAGAGGGUGAGAAUCCCGUCUGGGAUGGGGUGUCCGUGUCCGUGUGAAGCUCCUUCGACGAGUCGAGUUGUUUGGGAAUGCAGCUCUAAAUGGGUGGUAAAUUUCAUCUAAAGCUAAAUACUGGCCGGAGACCGAUAGCGCACAAGUAGAGUGAUCGAAAGAUGAAAAGCACUUUGAAAAGAGAGUUAAAAAGCACGUGAAAUUGUUGAAAGGGAAGCGCUUGCGACCAGACUCGCCUGUGGGGUUCAGCCGGGAUUCCCGGUGUACUUCCCCGUAGGCGGGCCAGCGUCGGUUUGGGCGGCCGGUCAAAGGCCUCCGGAAUGUAUCGCCCCCCGGGGCGUCUUAUAGCCGGAGGUGCAAUGCGGCCUGCCUGGACCGAGGAACGCGCUUCGGCACGGACGCUGGCAUAAUGGUCGUAAGCGACCCGUCUUGAAACACGGACCAAGGAGUCUAACAUCUACGCGAGUGUUCGGGUGUCAAACUCGUGCGCGCAGUGAAAGCGAACGGAGGUGGGAACCCUCACGGGUGCACCAUCGACCGAUCCUGAUGUCUUCGGAUGGAUUUGAGUAGGAGCGUAGCUGUUGGGACCCGAAAGAUGGUGAACUAUGCCUGAAUAGGGCGAAGCCAGAGGAAACUCUGGUGGAGGCUCGCAGCGGUUCUGACGUGCAAAUCGAUCGUCGAA